UACGAAGGGGGCGAGCGUUGUUCGGAUUUACUGGGCGUAAAGGGCGCGUAGGCGGCCUUGUCAGUCAGGCGUGAAAGCCCCGGGCUCAACCUGGGAACGGCGCUUGGGACGGCGAGGCUGGAGUUCGGGAGAGGAGAGUGGAAUUCCCAGUGUAGAGGUGAAAUUCGUAGAUAUUGGGAAGAACACCGGUGGCGAAGGCGGCUCUCUGGACCGACACUGACGCUGAGGCGCGAAAGCGUGGGGAGCAAACAGGAUUAGAUACCCUGGUAGUCCACGCCGUAAACGAUGUGUGCUAGACGUUGGGGAGCCUAGCUCUUCGGUGUCGCCGCAAACGCAUUAAGCACACCGCCUGGGGAGUACGGCCGCAAGGUUAAA
rnacentral:rRNA from 1 species